UACAAACGCUUGCUCGUUAAUGCCGAGAUGCAAUGAGGGGUAGACCGCCUCAGCGGAAAGCCAAACUGAGUGAUUCUAUGCUUCCUAGAAAAGCCACGGGCCGCGCAUUCAGGCUGACCGUACCGCAAACCGACUCAGGUGGGCGGGGAGAACAUCCCAAGGCGCUUGAGAGAACCCUGGUUAAGGAACUAGGCAAAUUGACACCGUAACUUCGGGAUAAGGUGUGCCUCCAAGGUGAACCUGCACAAGGGAAGCCAGCGGAGGUCGCAGAGAAUAGGGGGUAGCGACUGUUUACCAAAAACACAGGACUGUGCAAAGUCGCCAAGACGACGUAUACGGUCUGACGCCUGCCCGGUGCUGGGAGGUUAAGAGGAGAUGUUAGUCGCAAGACGAGGCAUUGAAUCGAAGCCCCAGUAAACGGCGGCCGUAACGAUAACGGUCCUAAGGUAGCGAAAUUCCUUGUCGGGUAAGUUCCGACCUGCACGAAUGGCGUAACGACUUCCCCGCUGUCUCAACCAGGGACUCAGUGAAAUUGAAUUCUCGGUGAAGAUGCCGAGUACCCGCGGCAAGACGGAAAGACCCCGUGAACCUUUACUAUAACUUGGCAGUGGUAUUCGGGUGAGUCUGUGUAGGAUAGGUGGGAGACUUCGAAGCCGGUGCGCCAGCAUCGGUGGAGUCAACGUUGAAAUACCACCCUGGCUCUCCUGGAUGCCUAACGUCGGUCAGUAUAGCCUGGCUACGGACACUGCCUGGUGGGUAGUUUGACUGGGGCGGUCGCCUCCCAAAGAGUAACGGAGGCGCACAAAGGUUCCCUCAGCCUGAUUGGAAACCAGGCGAAGAGUGCAAAGGCAUAAGGGAGCUUGACUGCGAGACCUACAAGUCGAGCAGGUGCGAAAGCAGGUCUUAGUGAUCCGGUGGUCCCGUGUGGAAGGGCCAUCGCUUAACGGAUAAAAGGUACUCCGGGGAUAACAGGCUUAUCUCCCCCAAGAGUUCACAUCGACGGGGAGGUUUGGCACCUCGAUGUCGGCUCAUCGCAUCCUGGGGCUGGAGCAGGUCCCAAGGGUUUGGCUGUUCGCCAAUUAAAGCGGUACGCGAGCUGGGUUCAGAACGUCGUGAGACAGAUCGGUCCCUAUCUGCCGUGGGCGCAGGAGUUUUGAGAGGAGCUGUCCCUAGUACGAGAGGACCGGGAUGGACUGACCUCUGGUGAACCAGUUGUCACGCCAGUGGCACCGCUGGGUAGCUACGUCGGGACGGGGUAACCGCUGAAAGCAUCUAAGCGGGAAGCCCACCUCGAGAUAAGAACUCCCAAGGGUUUAUCCCUUCUCAAGGCCCGUUGGAGACUACAACGUUGAUAGGCUGGGGGUGUAAGCGUCGUAAAAGGCGUUCAGCUUACCAGUACUAAUAGGCCGUGAGGCUUGACC
rnacentral:rRNA from 1 species